GGGUUCUGAAGUUUAUAUUUUAAGCUUCAGAAGGGACUGUAGAUGGUCGGGCCGCCAUCC
rnacentral:ncRNA from 12 species